rnacentral:lncRNA from 1 species
UUUUAAAGUGAUGUUUUGUCGGAAUUUCUCCUAAGCAAAUGAAAGUUAACGGAAAAGCCCGUCGCCAGCUCAAACUCUGGCUAUGGCCGCUAGGUGUCCUAGACAGCUAUAAAGAAAAGCAGAAGACAUAAAUGGUCCAAUUUUGGCUAGAAAGUCUGACAAGCAUCAUCGAAAACAAGCAUGGGGUUAAUACCACACUGCAAUCAAAAUCAGGAUGAAAAUUGCUUCUUAAAGUGGGUUGGAUCUUGUUGCGAAGCUUGGCACAAUACUAGUCACUAUGCUCGGUGACUUCAUUUUAUUGGGUCAGGUCUGGUAUAUUCUGGCCAUCAUUUUCCAAAGUUGUUUUAUUAAUAGUCAAGUCAAUAGUCUGCAUAAACAAUUUCUCUUUCAAAUUGACCAACAUGCCCUCAAACAUGCAGCAGUGUCCUGAUAUCUGGUCAUCAAGAUGUUCUGAAAUAGACAAUUUUCAGGAUACUUCUGCGAGGACGGGGCACGAAAUUCUCGAGCACACCGUUGGAAACAAUCAUCGGGAGUGCGAAAUAGGUUCGCUUCUACAGUAGGGUAAACUGAAUUGUCUAAAUGAAACAAGCGUAUUACUAUACUAUUUUCUUUUAAAUAUUUGUACGGAUCCUGUCAAAAGAGGGUAAGCGGACGGAGAGGAAAUACACAAGAUAAAAAUGAAAACUACAAUAAAUGCCUCAGGGACAUUAAGUGUCAGUUUCAGUUGCCUUGUCAAG